AUACUUACUUGGUGAUGCAGCUACGGCGAUCAAGCAGGCCGUGCUGCCGGGGCGAGGCUGGGCCAUUGCACUUGGGCCCAGUUGACCUUCGCGAUUGCUCCAAAUGCGAGCAACUCGAUCACGUAAUUUAUGAUAGUGGAGACAGCGUUCGCGCGUCUCCUU